rnacentral:rRNA from 1 species
GGACUACUGGGGUAUCUAAUCCCGUUUGCUCCCCUGGCUUUCGCUCCUCAGCGUCAGUGUUGGUCCAGGAUGCCGCCUUCGCCACCGGUGUUCCUCCAGAUAUCUACGCAUUUCACCGCUACACCUGGAAUUCCGCAUCCCUCUCCCAAACUCAAGCCAUCCAGUAUCACACGCAGUUCCCCGGUUAAGCCGAGGGAUUUCACGUGUGACUGAGUUGGCCGCCUACGAGCCCUUUACG